AUGGCAAAUUAUCCAAUCGCUCCGGCUUCGCGCCGGAGAGGAAAGUCCGGACACUUUUUCGAAAAAGGUAGCGGGUAACGCCCGUCUGGAGUAAUCCACGAGGUGCGAGCAGAGACGCUUUUUUGUGAAAACAAAAUGACAAAAGAGGUGAAACGGCUAAAUCCUUACCUGAGUGCAAGGUCGUGCCCCGCAAACCUAUUUUAUAGGCGCGGGGAGUGCCGCAUGACCCCGACGGUAACGUCGGGGCUAGAUAAAUGAUUGGGCUAGACAGAAUCCGGCUUAUAGAUUUGCCCUGAUA
rnacentral:RNase_P_RNA from 2 species